rnacentral:rRNA from 1 species
AGUGAACGCUGGCGGUAGGCCUAACACAUGCAAGUCGAACGGCAGCACAGUAAGAGCUUGCUCUUACGGGUGGCGAGUGGCGGACGGGUGAGGAAUACAUCGGAAUCUACUUUUUCGUGGGGGAUAACGUAGGGAAACUUACGCUAAUACCGCAUACGACCUACGGGUGAAAGCAGGGGAUCUUCGGACCUUGCGCGAUUGAAUGAGCCGAUGUCGGAUUAGCUAGUUGGCGGGGUAAAGGCCCACCAAGGCGACGAUCCGUAGCUGGUCUGAGAGGAUGAUCAGCCACACUGGAACUGAGACACGGUCCAGACUCCUACGGGAGGCAGCAGUGGGGAAUAUUGGACAAUGGGCGCAAGCUUGAUCCAGCCAUACCGCGUGGGUGAAGAAGGCCUUCGGGUUGUAAAGCCCUUUUGUUGGGAAAGAAAAGCAGCAGGUUAAUACCCCGCUGUUCUGACGGUACCCAAAGAAUAAGCACCGGCUAACUUCGU